rnacentral:rRNA from 1 species
UACGUAGGGUGCAAGCGUUAAUCGGAAUUACUGGGUGUAAAAGCGCGUGUAGGCGGGAGGUCCAAGUCUGCGGUGAAAUCGCUCGGCUCAACUGGGCGGGGUCCGUGGAAACUGGUCACCUGGAGGACGGUAGAGGCGAGUGGAAUUCCCGGUGUAGUGGUGAAAUUCGUAGAUAUUCGGAAGAACACCAGUGGCGAAGGCGACUUACUGGACACAUAUUGACGCUGAGGUGCGAAAGCGUGGGGAGCAAACAGG